UGAGGAGUUACUGUGCAAUGCUUUAUACAUAUGAAUAAACUGGAGUAGUUAGUAUUAAAUUAACUGUUUGAGAGUCUUGUUAGUUGAUGUUAAGAGGGUUAUUGUGAUUCUAAGGGACAACAGGUGGCUUUAGCUUUAUUGUGUCUACUGAAAGAUAGUACUAGUUCCACCAUGCUAAAUUGAGAAGUAUGCAUGAAGGUUUCACAGAAAAAGUUGUGUUUGUUAUGAGGUGAGGUUAUUUUUCAAGUUUGUUGGAGAAAAAUAAAUUGUUAGAAACAUAUGUUCUAGUUUUACAUUUA
rnacentral:misc_RNA from 1 species